GUAGGUUUGGCCCUUCCCUGCAGGUACUGUCGGGCCGGUGGGUACCUCUGUGUGUAGGUUUGGCCCUUCCCUGCAGGUACUGUCGGGCCGGUGGGUACCUCUGUGUGUAGGUUUGGCCCUUCCCUGCAGGUACUGUCGGGCCGGUGGGUACCUCUGUGUGUAGGUUUGGCCCUUCCCUUCCCUGCAGGUACUGUCGGGCCGGUGGGUACCUCUGUGUGUAGGUUUGGCCCUUCCCUGCAGGUACUGUCGGGCCGGUGGGUACCUCUGUGUGUAGGUUUGGCCCUUCCCUGCAGGUACUGUCGGGCCGGUGGGUACCUCUGUGUGUAGGUUUGGCCCUUCCCUGCAGGUACUGUCGGGCCGGUGGGUACCUCUGUGUGUAGGUUUGGCCCUUCCCUGCAGGUACUGUCGGGCCGGUGGGUACCUCUGUGUGUAGGUUUGGCCCUUCCCUGCAGGUACUGUCGGGCCGGUGGGUACCUCUGUGUGUAGGUUUGGCCCUUCCCUUCCCUGCAGGUACUGUCGGGCCGGUGGGUACCUCUGUGUGUAGGUUUGGCCCUUCCCUGCAGGUACUGUCGGGCCGGUGGGUACCUCUGUGUGUAGGUUUGGCCCUUCCCUGCAGGUACUGUCGGGCCGGUGGGUACCUCUGUGUGUAGGUUUGGCCCUUCCCUGCAGGUACUGUCGGGCCGGUGGGUACCUCUGUGUGUAGGAUUGUGCCCUUCCCCUCAUCCUGUACCAGUCCUACUAGUCUCUUUCCCUCCUAGAUUGUUAGCUCUUUGGGACAGGAAGGCCAUGUGACCUGUGCAACAAGCUUUCUUUUGUU